rnacentral:rRNA from 1 species
GAUGAACGCUGACAGAAUGCUUAACACAUGCAAGUCAACUUGAACUUCGGUUUGGGUGGCGGACGGGUGAGUAACGCGUAAAGAACUUGCCUCACAGCUAGGGACAACAUUUGGAAACGAAUGCUAAUACCUGAUAUUAUGAUUUUAGGGCAUCCUAGAAUUAUGAAAGCUAUAUGCGCUGUGAGAGAGCUUUGCGUCCCAUUAGCUAGUUGGAGAGGUAGCGGCUCACCAAGGCGAUGAUGGGUAGCCGGCCUGAGAGGGUGAACGGCCACAAGGGGACUGAGACACGGCCCUUACUCCUACGGGAGGCAGCAGUGGGGAAUAUUGGACAAUGGACCAAGAGUCUGAUCCAGCAAUUCUGUGUGCACGAUGAAGUUUUUCGGAAUGUAAAGUGCUUUCAGUUGGGAAGAAAAAAAUGACGGUACCAACAGAAGAAGUGACGGCUAAAUACGUG